rnacentral:rRNA from 1 species
CCUACGGGGGGCUGCAGUGAGGAAUAUUGGUCAAUGGACGAGAGUCUGAACCAGCCAAGUAGCGUGAAGGAUGACUGCCCUAUGGGUUGUAAACUUCUUUUAUAUGGGAAUAAACUGUUCCACGUGUGGGAUUUUGUAUGUACCAUAUGAAUAAGGAUCGGCUAACUCCGUGCCAGCAGCCGCGGUAAUACGGAGGAUCCGAGCGUUAUCCGGAUUUAUUGGGUUUAAAGGGAGCGUAGGUGGAUUGUUAAGUCAGUUGUGAAAGUGUGCGGCUUAACCGUAAAAUUGCAGUUGAAACUGGCAGUCUUGAGUACAGUAGAGGUGGGCGGAAUUCGUGGUGUAGCGGUGAAAUGCUUAGAUAUCACGAAGAACUCCGAUUGCGAAGGCAGUUCACUGGACUGCAACUGACACUGAGGCUCGAAAGUGUGGGUAUCAAACAGGAUUAGAUACCCGAGUAGUC